AUAUUACUAAGCGGAGGAAAAGAAACUAACCAGGAUUCCCUCAGUAACGGCGAGUGAAGCGGGAAUAGCUCAAAUUUGAAAUCUUUCAGCUUCGCUGAACGAAUUGUAGUUUAUAGAGGCAUUUUCGGGAAUGACUGAGGUAUAAGUCCCUCUGACCAGGGCAUCAUAGAAGGUAAUAAUCCUGUUCAUGAUCUCAUGUCAAACCUAUGUGAUAUGUCCUCGAAGAGUCGGGUUGUUUGGGAAUGCAGCCCUAAAUGGGUGGUAAAUACCAUCUAAAGCUAAAUAUUGGUAGGAGACCGAUAGCGCACAAGUA
rnacentral:rRNA from 1 species